rnacentral:rRNA from 1 species
UGGGGAAUCUUGGACAAUGGGCGCAAGCCUGAUCCAGCCAUGCCGCGUGGAUGAUGAAGGCCCUAGGGUUGUAAAAUCCUUUCGUUGGGGACGAUAAUGACGGUACCCAAAGAAGAAGCUCCGGCUAACUUCGUGCCAGCAGCCGCGGUAAUACGAAGGGGGCUAGCGUUGUUCGGAUUUACUGGGCGUAAAGCGCGUGUAGGCGGACUUGUAAGUUGGGGGUGAAAUCCCGAGGCUCAACCUCGGAACUGCCUCCAAAACUACAAGUCUGGAGCAAGAUAGAGGCAAGUGGAAUUGCGAGUGUAGAGGUGAAAUUCGUAGAUAUUCGCAGGAACACCAGUGGCGAAGGCGACUUGCUGGAUCUUUGCUGACGCUGAGACGCGAAAGCGUGGGGAGCAAACAGGAUUAGAUACCCACGUAGUCCCUGAGCGGGCUGGCAAGGCGCAU